UAUACCGUAGCUUGCUACACCAUUGACUGUGAGUUGCGAACGGGUGAGUAACGCGUAGGUAACCUGCCUAUUAGAGGGGGAUAACUAUUGGAAACGACAGCUAAUACCGCAUAACAGUAUGUAACACAUGUUAGAUGCUUGAAAGAUGCAAUUGCAUCGCUAGUAGAUGGACCUGCGUCGUAUUAGCUAGUAGGUAGGGUAAUGGCCUACCUAGGCGACGAUACAUAGCCGACCUGAGAGGGUGAUCGGCCACACUGGGACUGAGACACGGCCCAGACCCCUACGGGAGGCAGCAGUAGGGAAUCUUCGGCAAUGGGGGGAACCCUGACCGAGCAACGCCGCGUGAGUGAAGAAGGUUUUCGGAUCGUAAAGCUCUGUUGUUAAGGAAGAACGAGUGUGAGAAUGGAAAGUUCAUACUGUGACGGUACUUAACCAGAAAGGGACGGCUAACUACGUGCCAGCAGCCGCGGUAAUACGUAGGCCCCGAGCGUUGUCCGGAUUUAUUGGGCGUAAAGCGAGCGCAGGCGGUUAGAAAAGUCUGAAGUGAAAGGCAGUGGCUCAACCAUUGUAGGCUUUGGAAACUGUUUAACUUGAGUGCAGAAGGGGAGAGUGGAAUUCCAUGUGU
rnacentral:rRNA from 1 species